UGCAAGUCGUACGCACAGCAAUGUGAGUGGCGCAAGGGUGAGUAAUGCGAAGGUAACCAACCCUGGAGUUGGGCAUAGCCGCGGGAAACUGCGGGUAAUACCCAGCGAUGUCGCGAGAUGGCAUCAUCUUGCGACCAAAGGUGUGAUUCCGCUCUAGGACGGGCCUUCGUGGUAUUAGGUAGUUGGAGAGGUAACGGCUCACCAAGCCGACGAUGCCUACCGGGUGUGAGAGCAUGACCCGGCACACUGGAACUGAGACACUGUCCAGACACCUACGGGUGGCUGCAGUCGAGAAUCUUCGGCAAUGGGCGAAAGCCUGACCGAGCGACGCCGCGUGAGGGAAGAAGGCCUUCGGGUUGUAAACCUCUUUCGUAGAGGAGGAAGGGGCCGUGCAGAGCGGUCUUUGACCUAUUCUAGGAAGAAGCUUGGGCUAAGUUCGUGCCAGCAGCCGCGGUAAGACGAACCAAGCGAACGUUAUUCGGAAUUACUGGGCUUAAAGCGCGUGUAGGCGGAUGACCACGUCAGUCGUUGAAGUCCCCCGGCUCAACCGGGGAACAGGCGCUGAUACGAGUUGUCUGGAGGUGGGUAGGGGAGACUGGAACUUCCGGUGGAGCGGUGAAAUGCGUUGAGAUCGGAAGGAACGCCCGCGGCGAAAGCGAGUCUCUGGACCCAUUCUGACGCUGAGACGCGAAAGCCAGGGGAGCAAACGGGAUUAGAUACCCCGGUAGUCCUGGCUGUAAACAUUGGGCACUGGGUAGUGGAACCGCCGAUGGUUUCACUGCCGCAGGGGAAACCGUGAAGUGCCCCGCCUGGGGAGUAUGGGUCGCAAGGCUGAAACUCAAAGGAAUUGACGGGGGGCUCACACAAGCAGUGGAGUAUGUGGGCUUAAUUCGAGGCUACGCGAAGAAACCUCCACCUAGGCUUGACAUGCAGGAAUUUAGCCG
rnacentral:rRNA from 1 species